rnacentral:rRNA from 1 species
GACGUAGGGCGCGAGCGUUGUCCGGAUUUAUUGGGCGUAAAGAGCUCGUAGGCGGUCUGUCGCGUCUGCUGUGAAAACUCGGGGCUUAACCCUGGGCCUGCAGUGGGUACGGGCAGACUAGAGUGCGGUAGGGGAGACUGGAAUUCCUGGUGUAGCGGUGAAAUGCGCAGAUAUCAGGAGGAACACCGGUGGCGAAGGCGGGUCUCUGGGCCGUAACUGACGCUGAGGAGCGAAAGCGUGGGGAGCGAACAGG